AGAGUUUGAUCCUGGCUCAGGAUGAACGCUAGCUACAGGCUUAACACAUGCAAGUCGAGGGGCAUCAGGAAGAAAGCUUGCUUUCUUUGCUGGCGACCGGCGCACGGGUGAGUAACACGUAUCCAACCUGCCGAUGACUCGGGGAUAGCCUUUCGAAAGAAAGAUUAAUACCCGAUGGUAUAUCUGAAAGGCAUCUUUCAGCUAUUAAAGAAUUUCGGUCAUUGAUGGGGAUGCGUUCCAUUAGGUUGUUGGCGGGGUAACGGCCCACCAAGCCAUCGAUGGAUAGGGGUUCUGAGAGGAAGGUCCCCCACAUUGGAACUGAGACACGGUCCAAACUCCUACGGGAGGCAGCAGUGAGGAAUAUUGGUCAAUGGGCGCAGGCCUGAACCAGCCAAGUAGCGUGAAGGAUGACUGCCCUAUGGGUUGUAAACUUCUUUUAUAAAGGAAUAAAGUCGGGUAUGUAUACCCGUUUGCAUGUACUUUAUGAAUAAGGAUCGGCUAACUCCGUGCCAGCAGCCGCGGUAAUACGGAGGAUCCGAGCGUUAUCCGGAUUUAUUGGGUUUAAAGGGAGCGUAGGCGGAUGCUUAAGUCAGUUGUGAAAGUUUGCGGCUCAACCGUAAAAUUGCAGUUGAUACUGGGUGUCUUGAGUACAGUAGAGGCAGGCGGAAUUCGUGGUGUAGCGGUGAAAUGCUUAGAUAUCACGAAGAACUCCGAUUGCGAAGGCAGCUUACUGGAUUGUAACUGACGCUGAUGCUCGAAAGUGUGGGUAUCAAACAGGAUUAGAUACCCUGGUAGUCCACACAGUAAACGAUGAAUACUCGCUGUUUGCGAUAUACAGUAAGCGGCCAAGCGAAAGCGUUAAGUAUUCCACCUGGGGAGUACGCCGGCAACGGUGAAACUCAAAGGAAU
rnacentral:rRNA from 1 species